rnacentral:lncRNA from 1 species
CAGGGGGUCCGAAGGAGGACACAGCGCUGCCCCCUCCCCUGGAGAUGAGGCGACACCGCCCUCCCCAUCAGCACAGGCAGCAGUGAGGGAUGGUGCGGCCGUCCAGCGUCGGCGUGUUCACCGUGCAGCCACACAGCGCCUGCAUGGGGGCAGAACCGGCGGAAUCUUAUCCUCGUUACGCACCGUUUUCCCGUCGGGGUUCAGGCGUUUGUGAGAGAUCUUCAUCUUCUUGGUGCAACCCGCGUAGAUCUCCUCCAAGGACACCUCAGGUCGUACAGCACGGGGGGGUCCUGUUUGCGACACGCUCCGUCCUGCCCCCCCCCCCGGCCGCGGGGGAAGCUGAUGUUCCCGAACCCCCCCAUGUGAAAGGUGGUGAAAGCAUCGUCCACGUCCAUCUCCUCGUCGCCGUUGCGCUGCACAAAGAACGUAUCGAAGG